rnacentral:lncRNA from 1 species
AGGGAGGCGCCAUCGCCCUGGCUUUGGGGCUGGGGCCUCCGGGGAGGUUCCGGUAGGGGCGUUGGAGAGGCCGCUCUUUUUGCAAGGCCCGAGACGGCGGGCCUUGCGCAGGCCGCCCUAUUCCGCGCCCUCAGGGCGUCAGUAUCAGCCUGAGGCUGGAUACCCCCGCUGGGCCCAGAUGCCCCCGCUGGGCCCGGAGCAUCCUCCGGCGCUGCCCUCCCAGAGCCACGCAGAGGCUGAGGUGGCGCGGGGGCGGCCCUGGCUCCGCGAGAAGCGGCGGCAGCGAGGGCUGGAGGACCCGGGCUGCGGGGCUCCGGGGCGUCUGGCCUGGGUGGGACUGAGCCCAUCCAGGGACUGGGACUCCGGGGUUCUGGUGUAGGUGGAUCCGGGGCAGGCUCAGGACCAAGUCCCUCUCCUUCCACCAAGGAGCGCCCAGAGGCCGGCGGGAGCUCCAGGUUCACCUCCUCCUCCUCCAGGAAAUCCCACUUCCAACUGGAUGUCUGGAUGAACUACUGAAAGCUGCUGAGUGUCCUGCAGCAGGUGAGCUGUGGCCAGAGCCCAAGGAUGAAGGGGGCUCCCUCACUCUGUGACUGUGAAGAGGAACCCUGAGGUGUAGCAGGCCCAGGCCCCAGAAGUAUGGAAAAAAUGAGGCCAUUUCCAAUCCAGCGGAAGACCUUCUAGAAGAGAUGAUGGUGGGAGAGUGCUGACAUACUAUGUGAAGCUACUAUUUGGAGUUGGACACGAGUGCAUGUGUCCUUGUGCCACAACGGGAAUCUUGACUACAACACAAAUGAAUCCACUCAAAUGUUGGCAAGUGGAGCAGAGUCCCAGAACAGGUACAGAAACACCCCCAGUUCAAGGAUCUUCACACCUGGAUUUAGGCCUACUCCUGCAACUACCCCAGGCACCAAUUUGAUCUUCUACUACUUUGCAGACAUCUCUUCUGCAAACACCAGACAAAUUGAGACAAUGACCUUCCACAGGACCCAAAUCACCUCUUACUGCAGGAAAGAAGAUCCAGUGAGAAAAUUAGUCCACAAAUGGAAUGUAAAUCCAUAAACACUCUUAAGUAACAGAAUAAAUUUAGUAUGA